rnacentral:lncRNA from 1 species
CACAAGCUCACUUGCACUUGGCUCCUGAACCCCUUCACGCCACAGGAGGACAUCUGAGCGAUUCCCAUCACUCCCCUGUGAACCCGUCGGAGCCUCGGCCUCUCAGAUUCUUGCGCACACAGUCUCUCAGGCUCACUCACUCUCUGUGGCCUGCCUCAGAUCGUCUGCCACGGCCCCCCGUGUGACCCCACUCCUGGCCUUCAGCCUGCUGGUUCUCUGGACCUUCCCAGCCCCAACUCUGGGGGGUGCUAAUGAUGCGGAAGACUGCUGCCUGUCUGUGACCCAGCGCCCCAUCCCUGGGAACAUCGUGAAAGCCUUCCGCUACCUUCUUAAUGAAGAUGGCUGCAGGGUGCCUGCUGUUGUGUUUACCACACUAAGGGGCUAUCAGCUCUCUGCACCUCCAGACCAGCCCUGGGUGGAUCGCAUCAUCCGAAGACUGAAGAAGUCUUCUGCCAAGAACAAAGGCAACAGCACCAGAAGGAGCCCUGUGUCUUGAGUAAAGAGAUGUGAAUCACUCUGGCCCAGGAAACCAAGGACCAGAAGAGAGGACCAGGCCUCCUGAUGCUCUGUCCCAGACCUAACCCAGCCAAGUCUGUGCCUAGAGAGUCGAUGUGAGUGUGGACAAGAGAGUUUGUGUGGCUAGAACACCGUCUCUCUGUGGCUAGACUGCAGUGCUUCCAAUAAAGCUGCUUGGUACCGUG